ACUGGUUCCACAUCUGGGUCUUCCUCCUGUUUGACCUGAUCCUGUUCGUGUUCAUCUACCUGCUGCCCUGAGCCGGUGAGUGGUGGCUGUAAUGCCCUGUCUGCCCCCUGCAGUGUAUGGGCCACAUAGGUGGGUGCCCCUACAUUACGGUGGAUCAUCCCCUGUCUGCCCCCUGCAGUGUAUGGGCCACAUAGGGUUCAUGGCGGCCGUGCCUGGAUCUGUGGCGGCAGAGCGCGGUAAGUGACGGCUGUGUCUGUGGAUCUCUGCAGGUGGCGUCUACUCGUGAUGAGAACCUUGUCCAGUUCUGCUACUGACGGUCAGCGAUGACAUCGACUAUUCUGAAGCAGAUGCCCCUGCAGUGACCAGAUAUUGGGGGAGGGGGCUUCAAGAUCUCUGCUAUAUGUCUGAGACUAGGGACUUGCAGCCAGUGUAUAAUGUACCCUGGAUUCUGAGCUAAAUCUCCCCAGUGCUGGACUCUGGGCUGAUGCAUUGUAACAACCCUUCAGCUACGUGAGCAGCACUGGGGGAGACUAGCUGCAUCCAGAGGGUCAGCGGUUAUCAGGUCGGCAGUGUCUGGUCGCUGACCUUCAGAUAGGAUGUAAUGAUGCGCGUAUCUCCCCUCUAAUCCUUGUCUUCUCUGCAGGUUGAAGUUGGUGACUGAGGACGUGGCGCCGUGGGACAGCCUGUGGUUUUGUAUUUGUGUAUGGUUUCAAUAAAGCUUUGUUUUGCCCUUU